GACGAACGCUGGCGGCGUGCCUAAAACAUGCAAGUCGAACGAGGUCUUCGGACCUAGUGGCGAACGGCGGAGUAAUACAUAUGUAACGUGCCUCGAAGAUUGGGAUAGUCCCGGGAAACUGGGUUUAAUACCAAAUGUGGUCGGAGGUGGCAUCAUCACCCGAUUAAAUGGUUUUUCGCUUCGAGAGCGGCUUAUGGGCUAUCAGCUAGUUGGUGAGGUAAUGGCUCACCAAGGCGACGACGGCUAGGGGGUCUGAGAGGAUGAUCCCCCGAGAGGGACUGAGACACGGCCCUCACACCUACGGGUGGCAGCAGUUGGGAAUCGUUGUCAAUGGGGGAAACCCUGAACACGCGACGCCGCGUGGUGGAUGAAGGCCUUAGGGUUGUAAACACCUUUUGCACGGAAAGACUUAGGACGGUACCGUGCGAA
rnacentral:rRNA from 1 species